rnacentral:rRNA from 1 species
GAUGAACGCUGGCGGCGUGCCUAAUACAUGCAAGUCGAGCGAACAGACGAGGAGCUUGCUCCUCUGACGUUAGCGGCGGACGGGUGAGUAACACGUGGAUAACCUACCUAUAAGACUGGGAUAACUUCGGGAAACCGGAGCUAAUACCGGAUAAUAUAUUGAACCGCAUGGUUCAAUAGUGAAAGACGGUUUUGCUGUCACUUAUAGAUGGAUCCGCGCCGCAUUAGCUAGUUGGUAAGGUAACGGCUUACCAAGGCAACGAUGCGUAGCCGACCUGUGAGGGGGAUCGGCCACACGGGAGCUGAGACACGGUCCAGACUCCUACGGGAGGCAGCAGUAGGGAAUCUUCCGCAAUGGGCGAAAGCCUGACGGAGCAACGCCGCGUGAGUGAUGAAGGUCUUCGGAUCGUAAAACUCUGUUAUUAGGGAAGAACAAAUGUGUAAGUAACUAUGCACGUCUUGACGGUACCUAAUCAGAAAGCCACGGCUAACUACGUG